UACGUAGGGUGCUAGCGUUGUCCGGAAUCAUUGGGCGUAAAGCGCGCGUAGGCGGUCUGGUAAGUCCGCUGUGAAAGUCGGGGGCUCAACCCUCGAAUGCCGGUGGAUACUGUCGGGCUAGAGUGCGGAAGAGGCGAGUGGAAUUCCUGGUGUAGCGGUGAAAUGCGCAGAUAUCAGGAGGAACACCAAUUGCGAAGGCAGCUCGCUGGGACGUUACUGACGCUGAGACGCGAAAGCGUGGGGAGCAAACAGG
rnacentral:rRNA from 1 species